CCUACGGGGCGCAGCAGUGAGGAAUAUUGGUCAAUGGUCGGGAGACUGAACCAGCCAAGCCGCGUGAGGGAUGAAGGUACAGAGUAUCGUAAACCUCUUUUGUCAGGGAACAAAGGCGGGGACGUGUCCCCGGAUGAGUGUACCUGAAGAAAAAGCAUCGGCUAACUCCGUGCCAGCAGCCGCGGUAAUACGGAGGAUGCGAGCGUUAUCCGGAUUUAUUGGGUUUAAAGGGUGCGCAGGCGGUCUGUUAAGUCAGCGGGCAAAGCCCGGGGCUCAACCCCGGCCCGCCGUUGAAACUGGCAGUCUCGAGUUGGAGAGAAGUAUGCGGAAUGCGCGGUGUAGCGGUGAAAUGCAUAGAUAUCGCGCAGAACUCCGAUUGCGAAGGCAGCAUGCCGGCUCCACACUGACGCUGAGGCACGAAAGCGUGGGUAUCGAACAGGAUUAGAUACCCUUGUAGUC
rnacentral:rRNA from 1 species